GUACUUACCUUGCAGAGGAGAUCCCACAAUUAGGCAGGUGGUUUUCCCAGGGUAAGGCUCACCCCCUGAACUCCAGGUGUGCUGACCCCUGUGAUUUUGCAGUGCUAAGUUAACAUUUGGAGUUGAC
rnacentral:snRNA from 14 species